AUGAUCCAUCACUUAGCAUCUGUAAAAUUUUUCGUGUAUCAGUUGGUUAGAGUACUUUGCCGAUAUAGACAAACCCCACAAAUAUAUUAAAAUAAUGAUGCAAUUAUAAGAGCAAGAUAUUAUAUUUAAUUUUGCAGUAAGCACAAGUCAAACACCAUGCUCCAUAAAUUUAAAAAUAAGUAAAUACCUGUCGUAAAUAAAAAGAAUUCUGUGACUCUUCAAAGUAGUUGUUUUUAAG
rnacentral:misc_RNA from 1 species